rnacentral:lncRNA from 1 species
GUUUUUCUCAAGUUACCAUUUGUUUCCCUUUUAAUUUAUAAAAUCCUAAAACAGUACUGAUUCUAAUGGAGGGGCGACAGAAACCCAAUACCAACAGAUAGCAUUCUGAAAAAUGGCUCAAAAGCCUCGAAUAUUUGUUAGAUUCAUUUUAUGUCUAAAUCACGGGAGGACAGAAAUAGAUCAUCUCUAAGACUCAAUCGCAUGCAUUCUCUGAUUCCAAUAAAUGUGUAAGGUGGAAGGUGCAAAAAGAAAAGAAGGGACUUUUCUGAAACAACAAUACCGUCAUUCCUCAACUUGCAUAAUUCAUUAGUUUCUGAAUGGUGCUUCAAAGCCAAAUUUUCUUACUUAGAGUUCAGGGCUUUACUGAGCAUGUUGCAGCUUGGACUAUUAUGACUCGAGUCAUCAGUGGUCCUCAGAGAUUCCAGGCUAAUCUGGAAAGCAAAGACCUGUAAAGAUUUAUAUAGAUUACAGAAUACCCCCUUUUCUCCAGGCAAGGAGGAGCAGAAACAUCUGCUCUCCAUGUUUUUCUGGCAGGCAGUGUUCAUUAUGACACACUUAGCAAGCAGAACUUGAUGUUCCGACUAUUGCAGGCUUUCUGGAGCUCAAAUCAACAACUUAAUUUUGAAAGUCCCAAGUUGUCUAAUAUUAUAAUAUCAGAAGGAAAUGUAGACCAAUCAAUUUCAUAUAUACCAACCAUGAGAGAGAUGAGUGACAAAUACAAACUAAAAUAAUCAAUUAGUCUAAUUAGAAGGAAACAUGGAAAUUCUAUAAGCAGAUAUUUGUAGGGAGAUAAAAAAUACUCCUUAGGUAAUUCUUAGGUCACUGGUAAUAAAUAUGAAUGUGUUAGCAUAUUCCAAAGCGUGUGUGCUUACUUUGGUAUUUGAUCGUCUCAUGUUCAGUAUGUAUCAGCAUACCUUACUGCUGGGAACUAAUAGUGGUGUACAAUAUAUAUGGUUUCAGGAAAUACAACACACAGCCCUUGCUGAAAAUGCUGUGAAAGAUACAGACGGAACCAACACGACCUUGCAUAGACUCAAGGCCAGCAAUCAAAAUCUUUAUUUAUCUCUUCAUGGCAUCUCUGGAUAUGGACUCUUUCCCAAAACAUUUCUCAAGGGGAGCUUAGAAGCAAAUUUUAAACUCAUCGGAAAAACAGAAACAACACAUUUCCAGUUGAUCAGCAAGAAUGUAAUGUAAAAUAUAGGCUCCUGGGGAUAGAAUCCCAUAAUCAGUUCUCAAAUUUUUGAUUGCGGUAAAAAAUAAAAUAUAUUCAUGAAGUUAAAUGG